rnacentral:rRNA from 1 species
UACAGAGGGUGCGAGCGUUAAUCGGAAUUACUGGGCGUAAAGCGCGCGUAGGCGGCUUUGCAAGUCGGGUGUGAAAUCCCCAGGCUUAACCUGGGAACUGCAUGCGAGACUGCAUUGCUAGAGUAUGGGAGAGGGAAGUGGAAUUUCCGGUGUAGCGGUGAAAUGCGUAGAUAUCGGAAGGAACAUCAGUGGCGAAAGCGACUUCCUGGACCAAUACUGACGCUCAUGUGCGAAAGCGUGGGGAGCAAACAGG